AUGGCGCUGCUCCGCGCGCUCGUCUGCUGCCUGGUGGCCGCCGGGCUAGGCCGGCCCGGGCUCGGGAUGCCGCUGGCGCCCGCCGGAGGCCCGAGCCCCGCCCCGACGGCCGGUGAGUCCCGGGGGCCGCGGGGGGAGCCGUGCGUGCCCCGGGAGGACGCAGCCCCAGGCCGCGGCGCGGGGAGGAGCGGCGCCCAGGGAGACCGGGGGAGCCGAGGGGACCGGGGAGACCGGAGGGACCGGGGGGACCGGGGAGACCAGGGACACGGGGAGGAGCGGGGGGACCGGGGAGACAGGGGGGCGCGGGGAGACCGGGAGACCGGGGGGACCGGUGGGCGCGGGCGACCGGGGAGCACGGGGAGACCCGGGGGCGCGGGGAGAGCGGGGGGCGCGGGCUGCCGGGGACCGGGGCGCGGGGAGACCGGGGGGCUCGGGGGACGGGGGAGCACGGGGGCACGGGGCGCGGGUGCAAGAGUGCGGAGGGAUCGAGGGGCGCAGGGGGCGUGGGGAUGCGGGGGGGCACGGGGGACCCGGGACGCGGGGGUCCGGGGGGACGGAGGGAGGUACCCCCGCCGGCGGGGGCGCGGGGGGGCACGGGGUCCGGGGCUUGGGUGUGCGGGGUCACGGGGCGUCGGGAGGGCGCAGGGGCCCGGGGGCGCGGGGCGUCGGGAGGGCGCAGGGGCCCGGGGGCGCGGGGCGCCGGGUGCUGGGGGACCGGAGGGACCAGGGGCCGGGGGGAUGGGGAGGUGCCCCGCGGGCGGGGGCGCGGCCGGGGCGCUGCCGGGCCCGCGCUCUCCGCGCGUCUGUCUCCGGGGAAACCCGAGCGGGCGGCGGGGCGCUGCGCCCUCGCGGAGCCUGGGGAACCCGCGAGGUUCCUGGUCCCCACGGGGAUGCACAGCUCAGCGGGACCGGGGUGACCUCUGCCCCCGUUACCUGGAUGCCCCUGGGUUCCCCGGGAGUGGGACCAACUUUAUUCUUUUAUUAUUAUUUCUGUUAAUUUUAAGAUUUUAUUUAUUCAUUCAUGAGAGACACAGAGAGAGGCAGACACAUAGGCAGAGGGAGAAGCAGGCUCCCUGCGGGGGGCCCGAUGGGGACUCGAUCCCGGGACCCGGGUCACUUCCCGGCCCCGCUGCGCCACCGCGGCUCCCAGCUUGA
rnacentral:lncRNA from 1 species